rnacentral:lncRNA from 1 species
AUAAAUGAUUUUUUGUCUUCUUUAUACUAAAUCUUAUUGCAUAUAUGUAUGUGUUAGGUGUUUGUAGAGUAUCUGGGUAUAUAUGUGUGUGUAUGUAUAUAUAUGUAUUAGUAUCUGUAUUUCUAUCUUUAUUUUAAAUCUACCUUAUUCCUCUAGACAUGUCAUCUCAAAAAAAUCUGUUCUUAAAUUUUUCAGCAUUUAAAUCUAUUCUUUACUAAAUAAUUUAGUUUCUUGUGUUAUAAUAUUUGUACAUAUACAAUGUUUACCAAUGAAGGAUAAAUUUUUUGAGUAUUUUCCCACUGACUAAUACUAAGAACAGACAUGAUCUGUAUUUUCCAUGUGCAAAAACAUAUUUCCGUACACAAAAAUAAAUGUAUUUAUAUUUCCAUAUAUAGUUAUAUUUAUAAGUAUAUUUCCAUAUACAAAUAUGUGUGUUUCCUUCUAAGAAAAAGUGACCAUUCAUAGUAUUUGAAUCACACCAUCAGGAAUCUAUGAUAUAUGAAAGCAAUGAGAAACUGUCAAGUUCAACAGAUGGAAAUCUGGACAAUCCAGCAUCCCUUAAGACAACUGUCCCUUCUUCCUGAGGUGGAGAUGAGCUCGAAGAUCUUCAACAAGGCUGAGAUUGUCCAGCUGCAGGAAACCAGAGAAGCUUUGAUAAGAUGCAGAAGAUAAAGCUCAAAAGUAGAUGUGAGGCUUUGAUGAAAAACCAAAGAUACAGCCAAGGUAGUCAAUGAAGACUGAACCCGUCUGCCUGUGUAUUCAUGGACCUCCAGGUGAACCAGUGCCACAGAAGGAAUUGGUGCCAGUGAGUAUUCAAGAAACAUGGUUAACUGCUGAGAAAAGUCUGGAGACACCUUGAUACAUUCCCACCUCCAAAUGAUAUAUCUACAGAAAUGUGGCUUAUAAAGAGCAGAGAGACUUAAACUGUUUUAUGAGCAGUGGUUUGAAUUUUAAUAGCAUCAUUAGGCCAUGGUGUCUGACUUACUGUCAUUCUAAAAAUGUGCAUUAUAAAAAAAAUCAAGAGCUAAUAAAAGUGUUAGGUGAUAACUUCA